AAAAACUGAAGAAAAUUUUGCAAAUGUUCUGGCAACUGUUCAGUUUCCUUUUCUCUUCUAUCUCUGCAUUCUCAAGGAUGGAUGAUACAUUCACUGAAUGGUAAAAUAAGCUGAAUGGUCAUCUUCCCUGCAAAUGUGAUGCCUGCCUGGCCUGAGAGAGCCGUCAUGAUCUCUCCACAACUUCUCACCCUGAAACUGUGGUUGUAAACUGAGUCCGUUGCACAAGAUCACAAGUCACUGAACUGAAUCCACAGUUGCUUGACCCCAAAACCACAAAUGCUAUGCAAACAGGUAGGAAAUUGGUUAGCAUUUCUCAUGACAUCUCCAGCACCUGGCACCAUCUGGGAGAGUAAACUUAACAACUAUCCACUAUAUUUACAUAUCUAUGUAUCUAUAUAUGUACAAAAUGCCCAGAA